rnacentral:rRNA from 1 species
GACAGAGGGUGCAAACGUUGCUCGGAAUUACUGGGCGUAAAGCGCGUGUAGGCGGUUUCGCAAGUCAGGUGUGAAAGCCCGGGGCUCAACCCCGGAAGUGCACUUGAUACUACGGAGCUUGAGUACUGAAGAGGAGAGCGGAAUUCCCGGUGUAGAGGUGAAAUUCGUAGAUAUCGGGAGGAACACCAGUGGCGAAGGCGGCUCACUGGCCCGAUACUGACGCUGAGGCACGAAAGCGUGGGGAGCAAACAGG